GAUGAACGCUGGCGGCGUGCCUAAUACAUGCAAGUCGAGCGAACAGACGAGGAGCUUGCUCCUCUGACGUUAGCGGCGGACGGGUGAGUAACACGUGGAUAACCUACCUAUAAGACUGGGAUAACUUCGGGAAACCGGAGCUAAUACCGGAUAAUAUAUUGAACCGCAUGGUUCAAUAGUGAAAGACGGUUUUGCUGUCACUUAUAGAUGGAUCCGCGCCGCAUUAGCUAGUUGGUAAGGUAACGGCUUACCAAGGCAACGAUGCGUAGCCGACCUGAGAGGGGGAUCGGCCACACUGGAACUGAGAAACGGUCCAGCCUCCUACGGGAGGCAGCAGUAGGGAAUCUUCCGCAAGGGGCGAAAGCCUGACCGAGCAACGCCGCGUGAGUGAUGAAGGUCUUCGGAUCGUAAAACGCUGUUAUUAGGAAGAACAAAUGUGUAAGUAACUAUGCACGUCUUGACGGUACCUAAUCAGAAAGCCACGGCUAACUACGUG
rnacentral:rRNA from 1 species